GGGAACCUGCCCUGAUGUGGGGGAUAACAGUUGGAAACGACUGCUAAUACCGCAUAACGUCUUUGGACCAAAGAGGGGGAUCUUCGGACCUCUCGCGUCAGGAUGGGCCCAGUUGGGAUUAGCUAGUUGGUGAGGUAAUGGCUCACCAAGGCGACGAUCCCUAGCUGGUUUGAGAGGAUGAUCAGCCACACUGGAACUGAGACACGGUCCAGACUCCUACGGGAGGCAGCAGUGGGGAAUAUUGCACAAUGGGGGAAACCCUGAUGCAGCCAUGCCGCGUGUGUGAAGAAGGCCUUCGGGUUGUAAAGCACUUUCAGCUGU
rnacentral:rRNA from 1 species